rnacentral:lncRNA from 1 species
AAUAAAUUUUAUUAUUAUUCUACAUAUUCUUAAUAUACUUGAUUCAAAUAAAGUAACCAAUAACUAAUUUAAUAAUAAAAAAAGACCUUGAUAUCGAGGCUUCUUGAGCGAGAAGAAAAGAAGCUAAGAGAAAUAGGCACUUUAUAAAUAUCCAGUGACCUACCGAAGUCCCAAUUUCAAUUUCAGAUCCCUUUGUUUUCCCAUUCUCUUUCAAAUCUCUUCAAUUCCAUGGCGAACCAACCCG